rnacentral:rRNA from 1 species
GAUGAACGCUGGCGGCGUGCUUAACACAUGCAAGUCGAACGGUGAAGGAGAGCUUGCUCUCUGGAUCAGUGGCGAACGGGUGAGUAACACGUGAGCAAUCUGCCCCUGACUCUGGGAUAAGCGCUGGAAACGGCGUCUAAUACCGGAUACGAGCUGCGAAGGCAUCUUCAGCAGUUGGAAAGAAAUUUCGGUCAGGGAUGAGCUCGCGGCCUAUCAGCUAGUUGGUGAGGUAACGGCUCACCAAGGCGUCGACGGGUAGCCGGCCUGAGAGGGUGACCGGCCACACUGGGACUGAGACACGGCCCAGACUCCUACGGGAGGCAGCAGUGGGGAAUAUUGCACAAUGGGCGAAAGCCUGAUGCAGCAACGCCGCGUGAGGGACGACGGCCUUCGGGUUGUAAACCUCUUUUAGCAGGGAAGAAGCGAAAGUGACGGUACCUGCAGAAAAAGCACCGGCUAACUACGUGCCAGCCGCCGCCGUAAUAC